AACAAAGUCUCUGGGUGGUUCUUAAAUGCCAUAAAAAUUAAACACACAGAUUAGCGUGGCCCCUGAGCAAGGAUGACAUGCAAAUUCGUGAAGCAUUCCAUAUUUUU